rnacentral:tmRNA from 5 species
GGGGACGUAACCGGUUUCGACGGAAAGUACUUUGACAAAACUGCAAGCCGUGUUUGGUAGAGUUUAAGCAAAAACUAUCAAAAAUUAUAAACGCCAAUAUAAAAACGCGUUUCGCCAAUGCUAUGGCUAAUUUAGCAAAUAUGUUUGCUCCUCGCGAGCUGGCAUAUGCUAUGGCUUAAGCGUGAAGCGAAUGUUUGCGAAAUUUUUGUUUCCUGACCAUUUUUCGCAGGCAUAAACCCUGUUCAGGAUGCUUCGACAGAAUUUGGCUUUGGCUGUCGACUAAGAUUUAAGCCUUACUUUUAGCAUUUUUUUGACGGUUUGGCUCGCUAAAAGGAAAAAUUAAAACCGCCUAAGCUUGUAGAAGUUUUGUAGUAGUUCUUUUCGGACGAGGGUUCAACUCCCUCCGUCUCCACAA